ensembl:lncRNA
GGUUCCUGGAGAGCCGGCUGGCACGGACAGACUCAUGUGAGGGCAAGUGGCUGAUCGUGCGUCGGAUGGGUCCAGCAAAGGAGAGAAAGCUUCGGUGCGCGCGCGCUCGCCAGGGAAAGGGUGACAGGGGUGGACCGAGAGGGAGAGAGAGAGGGAGAGAACAAAGGAAGAGAGAGGGUUUCCGCAGGGGCGGUGAGUCCUGGCGGAAGUCCUGAGGCAGAGGAGGUGCCAGGGGUUUGGGUUUCCCGGUCGUGUCGGGGUGUGGCGCAGGUUGCCCCAGUGGGCCUGAAUGUGCCUCCGUGGGGCACCUUGUUGCCGUGUUGGGGGGCGGGGAGCCGGCCUUGGGGAUCCAUCUUUCGGGCCCUGGGACGUGGGAGAAGAAUGCCGGGGCCUCUCUCUGUGCCCCUGGCACGCCUCUGUGCAGGCCGGGCCUGCACCGCCCCCCCCCCGGCCCCCAGGCAGGGUCCGUGUGGCUGCAGACACCCAGAGAGAGGAGGCUGGGGAGGCUGGGGAGCCGUGGCAGCCCGAUGCAGUGCGGGUCUCCAGGUGGAGGGGCCCUGGUCCCUGGCGCCAGCGUGGCCCUUCCUCCUUGUGGAAACCCUUGUGGUGUGUGUGCUCUCUCGCCCUGACCCAGGAGAGCAGCAUGGCGGACCCCUGAUCUUGUGGCGUGCCACGCGCGAGGCCGAGGAGCUCCCGCAGCCCAGUGGGCGUGGCGUCCUUGUCGCGGCUCUGUGGAGACCUGGCGAUGGAGAGCAGCAUGGCGGACCCCUGAUCUUGUGGCGUGCCACCGCGCGAGGCCGAGGAGCUCCCGCAGACCAGUGGGCGUGGCGUCCUUGUCGCGGCUCUGUGGAGACCUGGCGAUGGAGAGCAGCAUGGCGGACCCCUGAUCUUGUGGCGUGCCACCGCGCGAGGCCGAGGAGCUCCCGCAGACCAGUGGGCGUGGCGUCCUUGUCGCGGCUCUGUGGAGACCUGGCGAUGGAGAGCAGCAUGGCGGACCCCUGA